rnacentral:lncRNA from 1 species
AUGAAGACAGUAACAUUCCUCUCAUCAUUUUCUCCAGAACUUUGGUGCUUUGAGUCAAAGGUUGACAUAAAGCUUUCAAAACAAAUGCGUGUUUGCACCUCCGCCUCGGGGCCGCAGGAACCUGGACUCAGGGACUAUUUAGACAACACUGAGUUGGAGAAUGGAUUGUGGCUAGCUGGACACUGGGCCCUCCGCUGGCACUGUGGUCACUGCUGGCCCCAGUGCCACCAAUGCCACAGGACACUGGAUGCCAUAGCCACCAACUCCACCAGAAGGAGUUCCGAUUAUGUUGUUCAGUCUGGAUUUAGAAGUCUCAGGUGA